ensembl:lncRNA
GUCUCUUGGAGGCCCCGUGUCUCAAUGGACAUUAACCUUUAAUUGCCCUGUUUGGGGUGGGCUGGAGCAGCCGGGCUAAUGCAGUUGGAGGCUUGAGGAGGCAGGUAUUUGCAGCCUGCAGGUGACACGAAGUUGGGCCCCAACAGGGCGUCCUGGCCGGAUGUCUGCUUUGCUGGGGAACAGAGAGGGUGUCACUUAAACUAAGGCCAAAGGAAAAGUGCCGACUCUGAAGAUGUUGGUCAAGACCUUCCGGGCAGACAGAGCAGCACGUGCCCAGGGUGUAGAGGAGAGAGAGGCCCCGUGGGGCCGGGCGUGGGCCAGCAGCGAGGACAGAUGAUUCUUGGUGGUCUCUUUGGCUCCUGGAGGGGACUGGUGACCGGAAAGACCAAGCCACGAUUAGAAGCUUGAAACCUUCAUCUUCUGGGGAAGGGGAGGGGCUGGAGAGCGAAUUAAUAAUGGAUUGUGCCCACGUGAUGAAGCUCCAUAAAAAUCCCU